rnacentral:rRNA from 1 species
CAGCUGUAAACGAUGCGCGUUAGGUGUAUCGGUGACCACGAGUCACCGAGGUGCCGAAGAGAAAUCGUGAAACGUGCCGCCUGGGAAGUACGGUCGCAAGGCUGAAACUUAAAGGAAUUGGCGGGGGAGCACCACAACAGGUGGAGCCUGCGGUUUAAUCGGACUCAACGCCGGGAAGCUCACCGGAUAAGACAGCUGAAUGAUAGCCGGGUUGAAGACUCUGCUUGACUAGCUGAGAGGUGGUGCAUGGCGUAGUCGUGU